GAUGAACGCUGGCGGCGUGCCUAAUACAUGCAAGUCGAGCGAAUGGAUUAAGAGCUUGCUCUUAUGAAGUUAGCGGCGGACGGGUGAGUAACACGUGGGUAACCUGCCCAUAAGACUGGGAUAACUCCGGGAAACCGGGGCUAAUACCGGAUAACAUUUUGAACCGCAUGGUUCGAAAUUGAAUGGAGGCUUCGGCUGUCACUUAUGGAUGGACCCGCGUCGCAUUAGCUAGUUGGUGAGGUAACGGCUCACCAAGGCAACGAUGCGUAGCCGAACUGAGAGGGUGAUCGGCCACACUGGGACUGAGACACGGCCCAGACUCCUACGGGAGGCAGCAGUAGGGAAUCUUCCGCAAUGGACGAAAGUCUGACGGAGCAACGCCGCGUGAGUGAUGAAGGCUUUCGGGUCGUAAAACUCUGUUGUUAGGGAAGAACAAGUGCUAGUUGAAUAAGCUGGCACCUUGACGGUACCUAACCAGAAAGCCACGGCUAACUACGUGCCAGCCGCCGCAGUAA
rnacentral:rRNA from 1 species